UACGAAGGGGCGAGCGUUGUUCGGAAUUACUGGGCGUAAAGGGCGCGUAGGCGGCGACCCAAGUCAGAUGUGAAAGUCCUGGGCUUAACCUGGGGACUGCAUUUGAUACUGGGUUGCUUGAAUUCGGGAGAGGAUAGCGGAAUUCCCAGUGUAGAGGUGAAAUUCGUAGAUAUUGGGAAGAACACCGGUGGCGAAGGCGGCUAUCUGGACCGACAUUGACGCUGAGGCGCGAAACGUGGGAGCAAACAGG
rnacentral:rRNA from 1 species